CUAGUGAUCCAGGCCCCCCCCCAGGACUGCCCUGGGAAGCCACUGUCCCUCCCACUCCAGUAGGGAACACUCACUGGCUGGGAAAAGACAAUGUGGAUCUUCUUUUGGGCUGACCAAGCCAGGAGGGCACACCCUCCCACUGCCCCUCUCUGCCUCCCACUGAUUGUCCCUCAGCCUGAUGGGGUGUGACAGCUGCAAUUAGAGGCAGGAUUCCUUCCCACCCUCAAAGCAUUAAUAGCCAGUUGGAGAGGCAAAAUAGUAAGAAAAGGCUCUUCUGCUUGCUUCCUGGAUCCCUGGGGAGAGUGGAGAGAGGGGCAGAGCUCAAGAUGGGAUUAUGGGGGCGCAGCCGCGGUGGUUAGGGUCACUCUCAAAUCCUACCCAGUCAAAUGGUAAGAUGUUUCAUUUUUGGUGGGGGAGCUGCAGGAGGGAGGAAGGCGCUCAUGCUUUUUGGGUUUUGUUGAGCACUCACUGUCUGUCAGGUAAUGUGCACAUCUCUCAAACUUAGAAGGACCCUAGAAGGCAUUGUUCUCCAGACACAUCUAUGGAGGUUAUUAGGGGGCGUGUAAACUGCCCCGAUUAGGCUGCUAGCAAAGGAAAGGACAGAGAUUUGAACAGAGGGUUGGGUUAUCUGGCUCCAAAACCCCUGUCCUUUUCUUGCUAUUUCUCUACCUGGAGUUUGCCAACUGAGCAAGCCCACUCUGGUGGAGCCAGCCACUGCAAAUCCUUUGUGUCUUCCCAGAGAAUACCAACAUUUCAGUUUUGAGUGAGGGAACGUUGGCUCUGACUGCCUUUGGAGGUGGAGAUGGUGGAGGUGGUGGUGGUGGUGGUGGUAGUGGUGGUGUGUGUGUGUGUGUGUGUGUGUGUGUGUGUGUGCCUGCGCGUGCUAAGAAACUGCAUGUUAAGAUUCCACCUACUGAAUCAUGAGCGGAGGAAGUCGUGGGACACUGGCUGGUGGAGAAGCCAUCUAGCAUAUUAUUCAAGAUGACACCAGCUCCAAGUCUGGAAUGAGUCUGUGGGAAACCAAGGUACUUCUUGGACAUUCACCUAUAACUCACGUGUUUCGUGGACUGGUCACAGUGGUUCGGAUAAAUUGAACAGAACUUUAUGAACACCUCCCAGCACCAGGUGUUGUUAUAGAAACUAAGAACAGAGCAAUGAGAAGGACCCAACUCCUGCUCUCAAAUGGAUGCAGUGGAAAAUAAGCAGACUUUGAACCAUUGGUUAGUCAGAAGAGACUUGGGAGACUGAAAACUUGUUUCAACUUGGGCCAGAACAAAAAAUUAGGAAGCAACACUUGCUGCCAACAUGAUUUACAAGUGCCAGCACCUUCACCUCUGUUACUUCCUUCUCACUACACACUGAAAGCAGUUGCUCUUGUUUUACAUGGACAGGCUCAGAGAAGUUAAGCAACUUGUCCAAGGUCACACAGUAGUGGAAUUGAGAUUGAAUCAGUUCCAACUGACUUGCAAUCUUGUGCUUUUCAGACGAUCCCACUAAUUGUCCAUAUCUGUUCCAAAGCCAAAUCAAGAGGAACAAGAGCAAAAUCUGUCCUCUCAUAUUAUUCAUGGUCCUGCGUGGAUCAUAAAUGGCAUGCUGACUGUCUGAUGGAGACUUACUUUUCCCUUCCCCCUGGACACCUGCCAUGGCAAUGACAGAGGCUGUAUUUUACUGAAGUGGAGGGAAGAGGUGAAUGCAAAUGCCUAGGGCCUAAGUAUACAGGAAGGUGUAGGGAGAGGUAAGCAGUGUGUAUGUGGAGGAGAUAGCAGACGUAAGCAGAGAGAAAUCAGAGAGCUUAGUUCUUCCUCUGGGGCGCACUUUGUGGUUAAUUAGGACAUGCAAAUGAGCUAGAAGCUCAUUUAAUAUCCUCCCUGACAUGUAGCCCCACCCCACCCUGCCCCACUUCCCUGGCAGGUACAAGGGCCACCUGAUUGGCCCAGGUAUCUGUGGAAGGUUCCACCUGCUUCUUUGUGGCCCAGGGAACAGAAAAGAGUCCCUGCUGGGCAUGCUAGUGGGGCCGGCCUGGUCUCCCUCCUCCCUUUCUCUUCCCAACCUUUCAGACUUGGGACCUCUCUUUUCCCUCUCCCUCAGACACUUCCCUUGUGCCCCGCCCCUCAGGGUGAUCUCUGAACCCAAACUUGCCCCAAAGAAGGUUGCUCUGUCCUCUCCACAUCCCCAUCUCCUCCCUAGGGCCUUGUUGGGGAGAGGCUCCUCCAUCUUUCCCAAGUCACACCAUCGUUUCCUACGUGGUCUGGACAAGAGCAAGAGCACACCUUGUCCCCACCUUCUCCAGAGCAGCCAGAACCCACCUCAGGUGCCUUCCCCAUCCGGUGCAGUUAAGGCACUUCUGCCAGCACCAUGGUAUGAGCACUAGACUUGGAGUUAAGAUUUGAGAGCCCCCUCUGUCACUGUGGAAGCUUGAGCAUGUUGCUUGAUCUCUCUGAACCUUGUGUUUCUCAUCUGUGAAAGGUGAUAAUGUGGGGCUGCUGUGAGAUUUAAAGGACAUAAUGCACCUACGGUCCAAGCACUGCCUGGAAUACAGCAGAAGCUCAGCAGAUACUGGACAACCCAUCCCCUUAGUAGAGGCACUAACCAUGUGACCCAAGGCAAAAGUGCUUAAGAAAAAGUGCUUUCUCUG
rnacentral:lncRNA from 10 species